CACACUAUCAUUAACUGAAUCCAUAGGUUAAUGAGGCGAACCGGGGGAACUGAAACAUCUAAGUACCCCGAGGAAAAGAAAUCAACCGAGAUUCCCCCAGUAGCGGCGAGCGAACGGGGAGCAGCCCAGAGCCUGAAUCAGUGUGUGUGUUAGUGGAAGCGUCUGGAAAGGCGCGCGAUACAGGGUGACAGCCCCGUACACAAAAAUGCACAUACUGUGAGCUCGAUGAGUAGGGCGGGACACGUGGUAUCCUGUCUGAAUAUGGGGGGACCAUCCUCCAAGGCUAAAUACUCCUGACUGACCGAUAGUGAACCAGUACCGUGAGGGAAAGGCGAAAAGAACCCCGGCGAGGGGAGUGAAAAAGAACCUGAAACCGUGUACGUACAAGCAGUGGGAGCCUCUUUAUGGGGUGACUGCGUACCUUUUGUAUAAUGGGUCAGCGACUUAUAUUCUGUAGCAAGGUUAACCGAAUAGGGGAGCCGAAGGGAAACCGAGUCUUAACUGGGCGUUAAGUUGCAGGGUAUAGACCCGAAACCCGGUGAUCUAGCCAUGGGCAGGUUGAAGGUUGGGUAACACUAACUGGAGGACCGAACCGACUAAUGUUGAAAAAUUAGCGGAUGACUUGUGGCUGGGGGUGAAAGGCCAAUCAAACCGGGAGAUAGCUGGUUCUCCCCGAAAGCUAUUUAGGUAGCGCCUCGUGAAUUCAUCUCCGGGGGUAGAGCACUGUUUCGGCAAGGGGGUCAUCCCGACUUACCAACCCGAUGCAAACUGCGAAUACCGGAGAAUGUUAUCACGGGAGACACACGGCGGGUGCUAACGUCCGUCGUGAAGAGGGAAACAACCCAGACCGCCAGCUAAGGUCCCAAAGUCAUGGUUAAGUGGGAAACGAUGUGGGAAGGCCCAGACAGCCAGGAUGUUGGCUUAGAAGCAGCCAUCAUUUAAAGAAAGCGUAAUAGCUCACUGGUCGAGUCGGCCUGCGCGGAAGAUGUAACGGGGCUAAACCAUGCACCGAAGCUGCGGCAGCGACACUAUGUGUUGUUGGGUAGGGGAGCGUUCUGUAAGCCUGUGAAGGUGUGCUGUGAGGUAUGCUGGAGGUAUCAGAAGUGCGAAUGCUGACAUAAGUAACGAUAAAGCGGGUGAAAAGCCCGCUCGCCGGAAGACCAAGGGUUCCUGUCCAACGUUAAUCGGGGCAGGGUGAGUCGACCCCUAAGGCGAGGCCGAAAGGCGUAGUCGAUGGGAAACAGGUUAAUAUUCCUGUACUUGGUGUUACUGCGAAGGGGGGACGGAGAAGGCUAUGUUGGCCGGGCGACGGUUGUCCCGGUUUAAGCGUGUAGGCUGGUUUUCCAGGCAAAUCCGGAAAAUCAAGGCUGAGGCGUGAUGACGAGGCACUACGGUGCUGAAGUAACAAAUGCCCUGCUUCCAGGAAAAGCCUCUAAGCAUCAGGUAACAUCAAAUCGUACCCCAAACCGACACAGGUGGUCAGGUAGAGAAUACCAAGGCGCUUGAGAGAACUCGGGUGAAGGAACUAGGCAAAAUGGUGCCGUAACUUCGGGAGAAGGCACGCUGAUAUGUAGGUGAAGUCCCUUGCGGAUGGAGCUGAAAUCAGUCGAAGAUACCAGCUGGCUGCAACUGUUUAUUAAAAACACAGCACUGUGCAAACACGAAAGUGGACGUAUACGGUGUGACGCCUGCCCGGUGCCGGAAGGUUAAUUGAUGGGGUUAGCGGUAACGCGAAGCUCUUGAUCGAAGCCCCGGUAAACGGCGGCCGUAACUAUAACGGUCCUAAGGUAGCGAAAUUCCUUGUCGGGUAAGUUCCGACCUGCACGAAUGGCGUAAUGAUGGCCAGGCUGUCUCCACCCGAGACUCAGUGAAAUUGAACUCGCUGUGAAGAUGCAGUGUACCCGCGGCAAGACGGAAAGACCCCGUGAACCUUUACUAUAGCUUGACACUGAACAUUGAGCCUUGAUGUGUAGGAUAGGUGGGAGGCUUUGAAGUGUGGACGCCAGUCUGCAUGGAGCCGACCUUGAAAUACCACCCUUUAAUGUUUGAUGUUCUAACGUUGGCCCCUGAUCGGGGUUGCGGACAGUGUCUGGUGGGUAGUUUGACUGGGGCGGUCUCCUCCUAAAGAGUAACGGAGGAGCACGAAGGUUGGCUAAUCCUGGUCGGACAUCAGGAGGUUAGUGCAAUGGCAUAAGCCAGCUUGACUGCGAGCGUGACGGCGCGAGCAGGUGCGAAAGCAGGUCAUAGUGAUCCGGUGGUUCUGAAUGGAAGGGCCAUCGCUCAACGGAUAAAAGGUACUCCGGGGAUAACAGGCUGAUACCGCCCAAGAGUUCAUAUCGACGGCGGUGUUUGGCACCUCGAUGUCGGCUCAUCACAUCCUGGGGCUGAAGUAGGUCCCAAGGGUAUGGCUGUUCGCCAUUUAAAGUGGUACGCGAGCUGGGUUUAGAACGUCGUGAGACAGUUCGGUCCCUAUCUGCCGUGGGCGCUGGAGAACUGAGGGGGGCUGCUCCUAGUACGAGAGGACCGGAGUGGACGCAUCACUGGUGUUCGGGUUGUCAUGCCAAUGGCACUGCCCGGUAGCUAAAUGCGGAAGAGAUAAGUGCUGAAAGCAUCUAAGCACGAAACUUGCCCCGAGAUGAGUUCUCCCUGAC
rnacentral:rRNA from 1 species